AAAUGGCAGAAGAUAUACCGAUGAAUGAAGCCGACCACGUCGCCGCCGACUAUCGUAGAGUUUACAGAGGAAGACGCGCCGGGGUUCGCGUCCAGGAGGAGCGCUUUAUGCGCUUCCUCCUAAAACUGUCCUCGCCUCACUAUUAUUGGGGCAACAG